ACUGCUAUCGAGAUGGGACUAAGGUAUGCUAGUCGAACGACCAGAACUAUGUCUGGAAGUGGCACACUGCUCAGUAACACGUAGCUAACCUACCCUUAGGACGUGGAUACCCCCGAGAAAUUGGGGUUAAUCCGCGAUAGGUGUAAUGUCCUGGAAUGGUAUUACGCCUAAAGGUGUAUCAUACAUGUUUGAUAUACGCCUAAGGAUGGGGCUGCGGCCGAUCAGGCUGUUGGUGAGGUAAUGGCUCACCAAACCUUUGACCGGUACGGGCCAUGAGAGUGGUAGCCCGGAGAUGGACACUGAGACAAGGGUCCAGGCCCUAAGGGGCGCAGCAACCGCGAAACCUCCACAAUGCACUCACGUGCGAUGGGGCUAUCUCGAGUGCCACCUGAUGAAGGUGGCUUUUCCUAGGUCUUCAAAGCCUUGGGAAUAAGAGGGGGGCAAGACUGGUGUCAGCCGCCGCGGUAACACCAGCCCCUCGAGUGGUGGGGAUGAUUAUUUGGCCUAAAGCGUCCGUAGCCGGCCGAGCAAGUCUUCCGUUAAAUCCAGCGUCUCAAGCGUUGGACUGCGGGAGAUACUACACGGCUAGAGAGUGGGAGAGGUCAGCGGUAUUCUGGGGGUAGGGGCGAAAUCCUUUGAUCCCCGGAGGACCACCAGUGGCGAAGGCUGCUGACUAGAACACGUCUGACGGUCAGGGACGAAAGCUGGGGUAGCGAACCGGAUUAGAUACCCGGGUAGUCCCAGCCGUAAACGAUGCAUGCUAGGUGUUGGGUUGGCCACGAGCCACCCCAGUGCCGCAGGGAAGCCGUUAAGCAUGCCGCCUGGGAAGUACGAUCGCAAGAUUGAAACUUAAAGGAAUUGGCGGGGGAGCACCACCAGGCGUGAAGCCUGCGGUUUAAUUGGAUUCAACGCCGGA
rnacentral:rRNA from 1 species